rnacentral:rRNA from 1 species
GAGUUUGAUCCUGGCUCAGGAUGAACGCUAGCGGCAGGCCUAAUACAUGCAAGUCGAACGGUAAGGUCCAGCUUGCUGGACACACGAGUGGCGCACGGGUGAGUAACGCGUAUGCAACCUACCUUGAACUGGGGAAUAGCCCCGAGAAAUCGGGAUUAAUACUCCAUAAAUUCCAGCUUUCGCAUGUUAGCUGGAUUAAAGUUCCGACGGUUGGAGAUGGGCAUGCGUGACAUUAGUUUGUUGGUGAGGUAACGGCUCACCAAGACUACGAUGUCUAGGGGUUCUGAGAGGAUUAUCCCCCACACUGGUACUGAGACACGGACCAGACUCCUACGGGAGGCAGCAGUAAGGAAUAUUGGUCAAUGGACGCAAGUCUGAACCAGCCAUGCCGCGUGCAGGAUGACAGCCCUACGGGUUGUAAACUGCUUUUACACAGGAAGAAUCCCCUGUACGUGUACAGGGUUGACGGUACUGUAUGAAUAAGCAUCGGCUAACUCCGUGCCAGCAGCCGCGGUAAUACGGAGGAUGCAAGCGUUAUCCGGAUUCAUUGGGUUUAAAGGGGAGUUUGAUCCUGGCUCAGGAGUUUGAUCCUUACCAAGGCUUAAAUG